rnacentral:lncRNA from 10 species
UAGCACCAUAAAAGAUGACUUACAAAUGAAACAAGAUGAGGACACCGCGCUCACCAGAAUUCUUCUUCAGAAAGGAGAGCCAUCAGUGUUGGAACUUUUGAUAUGAGAGCAGCUAGGAGCUUAGCCAGCCUGGGGGUUCUCAGCUGCUCAGUUGUAUGCCCAGCUUCCCUGGAAAAGUCUGACCAACAGAGUGGUCAUAGGCCCAGCUGAACACUGGUCAACAAAAAUGUCCUGCCCAUGUCUGGUGCUAGGCCAAUGGAAGGAAACCUCCAAAGGUAGGGGGCUAAGUAUUUGGGAAGCAGUGGUUAUGAAGCAAA